UGCAUGAUGGCUUAGUUGGUUACACCAUGGUGCUGAUAAAGCCAAGGUUGCAGGUUCAAUCCCCGUACAGGACAGCUGCAU